UUCUAUAUAAACAGCGAUAAAAUUAAUCAUAAAUUAUUUUAGAACUAUUCUAAAUAUAUUCAUGAUUCUAGAUUUUAUUUGCAAAGAUUAGAUGUAACUACUUUUCAUAUAAUGUAUCAUAUACACAAUCUUAAAAUUUUGAGAAAAGUAAAUUUUUUUUUCGUAUUCAUCUUCAUGGGAUAUAGUCACAAUGACAUCCCUACACAUCAUAAGAAGAUCCAAUUGAAUAGAAAAAAGAGAGAUCUAAUCUCUAUUAUCUCCUAUGACCGGAUGGCCUGGUGACAAAUCCGAUAUGAUUACUUCGCUACUCAAAUCAUCUAAUCUAAAUACUUUAGAUCUAAUCUAAAUUAUUUAAGAUCUGAUUAUUAUAUUUUAAUUAUAUCAAAAUUAAAUAAUAAUUAUCAUAAAUAAAUUUUAUAUACUUUAAAUUAAAAUCAAAUUUUAUAAAGAUCAGUACAAACUAGGACAACCUUUACACUGUAAAGGAUAAACCUUACAACA
rnacentral:lncRNA from 1 species